UACAGAGGUCUCAAGCGUUGUUCGGAUUCAUUGGGCGUAAAGGGUGUGUAGGUGGCGCCGUAAGUCGGGUGUGAAAUUUCGGAGCUUAACUCCGAAACUGCAUUCGAUACUGCGGUGCUUGAGGACUGGAGAGGAGACUGGAAUUCAUGGUGUAGCAGUGAAAUGCGUAGAGAUCAUGAGGAAGACCAGUGGCGAAGGCGGGUCUCUGGACAGUUCCUGACACUGGGGCACGAAGGCCAGGGGAGCAAACGGG
rnacentral:rRNA from 1 species